AUAUAAAGAAGACAUGUUUCGGUGGCUUUGUAUACAGUAUAUAUUUAUAGUGUGUGUGCACACGUGUGAGCAUGUGUGUACAAACAUGAUCAUGGGCGGGGUAAUAGAGCUGGAGGAAGCCAGAUGUCUCUAACAAUGACAGGGGCCUCUGCAAGGAACAAGAGGAACAGUAGAGAGGAGACAGAUGAGAUUCAUCUGUGAAUUCAUGUAAUAAACAUUGAGCUGCUGCCAGGCACUGGGCAAUGUUUGCUGCACUAGAGAUACAAACAGCGUGCAAAUGAGAACCUUCUGGGAACUUCCAUCCUCCCCUUCCACUGCCCCUGCCCCAUACUUCAGGGAUGGACAAUGACUGAUUGACACAGGGGUACAAAGUUUUGGCCUGCUUACCUCAAGGGGAGAUGGUGCUGGACAACUUACUCCCUAGAGCUCCCCAUGAGAUCAGAACAAGGCCAAAGCUGUUGGGCGCUGGAGACACAAGUGCAAAGUAAAAACACCCCAGCCUCGUGGAACUGAUGACAGACAGACAACAAACAUGUCAACCAGUGUCUGAAACCUCCCCUUAUACCUGGAGGCACCCCGCACUAUGGACCUGCUUUCUCCAGCUAUGAGGUUGUGGGUCCAGAACCAAGCUCCGCCUCUCUGGAAUGCUCCCUGGAGCUCUGUCUCUGGGUGAGGCCACGAAGAGCAAAGAGCACUGAGAUCACAGCCACAGUCCGAGACAGAGGGUGCCAGGAGCGGCAGCGCCCAGCCACAUUCUUGCAGUGGUCAGUCCUGAUCAAUCCCAUAAGUCACCCUUUAAUCUUCUAAUAAAUCCCUCUUCUGCU